GAUCCUGGCUUAGGAUGAACGCUAGCUACAGGCUUAACACAUGCAAGUCGAGGGGCAGCAUGAGAUUAGCUUGCUAAUCUUGAUGGCGACCGGCGCACGGGUGAGUAACGCGUAUCCAACCUUCUCCUUAGUAGGGCAUAGCCCGGCGAAAGUCGGAUUAAUACCCUAUGUUCUUCGUAGAGGACAUCUGAAAUGAAGCAAAGAUUUAUCGCUAAGGGAUGGGGAUGCGUCUGAUUAGGUAGUCGGCGGGGUAACGGCCCACCGAGCCUGCGAUCAGUAGGGGUUCUGAGAGGAAGGUCCCCCACAUUGGAACUGAGACACGGUCCAAACUCCUACGGGAGGCAGCAGUGAGGAAUAUUGGUCAAUGGGCGCGAGCCUGAACCAGCCAAGUAGCGUGCAAGGAUGACGGCCCUAUGGGUUGUAAACUGCUUUUAUGCGGGGAUAAAGUGCACCACGUGUGGUGUUUUGUAGGUACCGCAUGAAUAAGGACCGGCUAAUUCCGUGCCAGCAGCCGC
rnacentral:rRNA from 1 species